GGGGAUAUAACUCAGUUAGUAGAGUGCUUGUCUCACACACACAAGGCCCUGGGUUCAAUCCCCAACACCACCA
rnacentral:tRNA from 1 species